rnacentral:lncRNA from 1 species
UAUUAAAAGCAGUAAAUUAUGCAGAAAUCAUAUAAAUAUUCAUUAAUAAUAUUAAUAUAAAAUGGACUAAAUUAUGCUCUAUCAAAUACCCCCACACUUAGCCUUUUGCUUGUCCUCAAGCAAAUAAACAUAGUCAAAUAAGCUUUCUCACUCUAGAUCCUUAUUUCCACUUAAGCUCUUACUCUAGACCCCUAUUUUGAAUCAUUGCAGUGAAGAAUAUAUGCAUGAAGAUUACUCACCUUCUUUCCUUGUUUCCCUUUACUUACCAUGGCUAGGAUUUGUUUUCCUCAAGAGAGACCAUACAUGUACAUUUUUGUUAAGACUUUUUCUAGCUUUUGGAUUGACUUGCCCUUACCUUGAAGUACUUUAUUCAGGCUUUUGCGCUUUAGAUCUCGCUUGGAAAGGUCACCAACCUAUUUUUGAUUUGAAGGUUUAUAUUUUUCAGUUGGUCACCUAUCCAAGUGGCUACUUGCCUUGUUCAUAGUCUUUUGACUAUUGGAA